AGGUAUAAUCAUUUGCAUAAUUUAUGCCAGUCACUCAACCAUUUACAUUUAUGCACCGCACUGUACCUGUGCAAUGGGUCGCAUCUAAUCUAAUCUGCUCCAAUUUGCAUUUAUCAAGCCGUCGAAUUAAAAACAACGCAAUCUCCGCAAGCAAUCAAGUGCAAAUACAAUAAAAUGAGCUAAUUUGGAGCCAGGCACUGGGAUGCACUGUUCCAUGUUCCCCGUUGGAUGCGCUUGCUCACCGGAUGAAUGUAAAUUGAAUCGUAGCGGGAGCUCAGCUCCUCCAUGCGCUCGUCAUCGCGAAUCCCGGACGUCUCCUUCAGCCGCUCGAAGUGCUCCUCUGUGUGCAGGCGCAGAAUUUCAUCCUUGGUCGCCGAUCUCGAGGGCAACUCCAGGCAGCGCUCCGUCAGAUUUAGUUCGCGACAGCUGGAUGAGGAGAUUAGGGAAUACAUAUCAGCUUAAUUUGUACCGUUUUCUUCAAAUAUACUCACCGUUCCAGGACUCGUGUGAAGCGCUCGGGACACUCGUAGUGCUCCUUGUCCCACAGGCAACAGUGCUGGCUCAUGGACUCAUCGUAGAUCAGUGCCGUUGGUUUCCGCACCAGACUCUUGCUGUUGACAGCCUUUUCGUCGGCGACGAUUAAAUAUCACUUGGUUAGGAUUGCACAAGGACAGAGGAUAGAGCCCUGAUUCUUGAGCAUGUUGUUCCGAGCUCGACGUUUCGCCUCCAAGAGCGCUGCGUUCGGUUUGUUCGACUUUCGCGGAUCGGCGGCAUUAAAUCCGCCGCUGAUACUGCCGCUGCUGCUGCCGGUGCCGCCGGCCGCCGUCGCCGCCCCUGUCGUGCCCGUCUUCGAUUUACUGGCCAUUGCCCGUGUCUGAAUCUUUGCCUGCUGCGCACUCCGUCGCGUGACGAUGGGCGGGCUCUGCGAAAACGAAUUUAAAUCUUUAGUAAGCAUUUCCCGCUAGGUAGACACACAACGCAGCUUCUGGCGGGGAUUCAUGCACAGAUGGAUCGCCAGUGCUGCUCCCACAGGCGAAUUUGAUUGCCCACUGGGGUGAGACAAGUGCUCAAGAAUCCAGUUACCUAACCCUUUCCAAACAACCAUAUGUGGAAUGGCAUGAAAGAUUUUACCAAUGUUACCACAUAAAAAAGCAACUCUCGGCCUUUUUCAAUCGAAGAUUACGGCGAUUGACAUAGGACUUUAGGAAUCUGGAUUGCAACUAAUCUGGAUUAAAACCUGUAUCCAAAUAUCGCGUAACAUCUAUGGUCUGUAACUUUUUCGGUUAACUGCUUAAAAUUUUGUUUACUAUUUGCAAAAAUGUAGUUUUUUUGCUGUUGCUAAACAUUUAAUCAUGUUUUACGUUACACUAUGCUAGAAUAUUAAAAAUUUGAAACAUGUCAAAAAAACUUCAAAUCUGGACUGUUGGGUUUAUU
ensembl:ncRNA asRNA:CR44998 antisense RNA:CR44998